rnacentral:lncRNA from 1 species
GACAGACACACUUCCGGCUAAGUACGGGCGUAAUAAUGGUGAUUAAAACUGUUCACCGUUCCUUUGAGUUCCUCGUAGAUUCUGGAUAUUAGUCCUUUGUUGGAGGUAUAGAUUGUGAAGAUUUUCUCCAAUUCAUCGCCGUUUUUUAGAGUUUUUCUCACUAAAUAUUGACUAACGGAACCUAGCCCUGUAAUGUUGAUAGUCGGGCGGGUCGGAAGUGGCUGAGGUGGAGUAUCUGCAGGAGAAGAACUGAGGCUCCUAAGUGCAGCAUCUUGUCCAAGAGGUUUCGUCCCAAUGCGUGGGGAACAUCCGGAUUGUGAUGUUUAGCUCUCAGUUUCUAACUUGGGCAUUCUAGCAACUGUAUUUCUCAUUUAAUGUUUUAUGGGCACACAUGCAGAGGAGUUUUCGUCACUGAAAAGCCCGACAACUUCCCCUGCCAACCCAUUGGAAUUAAAAAAACCUCGAUAACCUCUUAAACACAUGGAAAUGGAACCCUGAGCAGAGAUUGUGGUGGGUAUCUGUACAGCCUAAGGACCUUGGGUGGACCUGGCCAGCAAUGGGACUGUUACUGAUGAUGCAUCACAUGGUGUCACUAGGAAAAGCAUAGAUCAGCUGAGGAUCAAUCUUCCCACCAGGUGUGUGUGAAAAUGUAGGUUAUGUGCUUCCUUCAGCCCCAAACCUGUUGUCCACACCAGAAUCUGGAAAUAAUCUCAUUGGAAUUGGGAGAAUGAUUGAUGAUACUCAGUUUCUGGGCACACCGGGACAUUGGGCAUUUGUUGGAGUUUUCCAAUGUCUGUAGCUCCAGGUGUUCAGCAAGAGGCAUGGCACUGUGAAGUCACCAUAGUGUUUACGGAGAAGCACAAUAGGGGGCACCCUCCAUAAAUCUGGUUGAGGGAAAAGCAUUACAAGUUGGAUGAAAUAAGAAUACAAGAAACAGUAUUUGUAGAGUGUAUAUGACUGUGUGUCAAGUGAAGGGAAGACAGAAGAAAUGCUGUAAGUUACUAAGAGGGAGAAAUGACUAAGGACUGCAGUUGUCAUGGCAGGCUUCCUGAAGGUGGUGGAUGUGGGCUGAUGUCUGAAGAAAGUUACCAUUUACUGAGAUCUCACAGUGAGCCAGGCCCUGUUCUAAAUAUUAAUGUGGAUAUUUUGUUUAAGUCUCAUCAUUUUUCAAGAGUGAACACUUCAGUGGUCUGUAGUCCCUCAGUUGCACUGGACACAGUUGAGGCCCUCAGGAGCCACGCGGGGUCAGCGGUGGUGGCAUUGGGCAGAGCAGGUGUAGUGAUUUGGAGAGGGGACAGGCUCAGCAUCAGUAUUUCUGCUGCAUCCCUCUGUAAACAUCUCAUGAAGUGGCUGAUUUGUGAGAAGAGGAUCAUCUACCUCCUGCAUUCAAUCUCAUGAGUAGUUGGGAAGAACAGAUGAAGUGAGGCUGUGAAGCACUGUUGCAAUCUAAGGCACUGCUUAGACAUUGGUUGAGGCGAGAGGGUAAACUGACAGAUGGGAAACUGAGGCCUGGAGAGAUUUCGUCUCCUGCUCAACAUUGUCACAACUUGUCAGAGAUGGAGCCUGAGCAAAAUCCCAGGUCUGCCUGAUUCUGAAGCCUGGACUUUUACAGAACACUGCCUCUGACCAUGGCUAUGCUGGCAUUCAGCAAGUAGGAACAUCAGGAGCACUGAGGCUGUCACUAAUGGUCCUGUCCCAGCCCCUCCACUGUGAAGCUGAGACCUUUCACAGGAACCAAAAAGGGAUUGAUGCUGUGGAGAUGGGACACUGAUACUCGCAUUUGCCUCAGCCAAGUGCCUGCCCCUUUGAUGUAUCCACGCAGUGAGGGUCGGAAUCUGGCCACUGGAGCCUGGAGGAGACGCCUGAGCUUCCACAGCAAAAGAGCAGGUGGACAUAAGCCAUGACAGUAAUGAGGGAGUGCAGAAAUAGCACCAGGAAGACAAAGGCUCUGGAUUCAAGGCUGCGAUUGGUGAACCAAAGCAGAAGAAGCAUCAACUAUACAACAACACAAAUCAUCAGGAACAAAUAAUUUGAUUCAUUGUGGCAGACUUACUAAAUUAAGGAAGUG